rnacentral:rRNA from 1 species
CUGCCCUUUGGUUCGGAAUAACAGUUGGAAACGACUGCUAAUACCGGAUGAUGACGAAAGUCCAAAGAUUUAUCGCCAGAGGAUGAGCCCGCGUAGGAUUAGCUAGUUGGUGUGGUAAGAGCGCACCAAGGCGACGAUCCUUAGCUGGUCUGAGAGGAUGAUCAGCCACACUGGGACUGAGACACGGCCCAGACUCCUACGGGAGGCAGCAGUGGGGAAUAUUGGACAAUGGGCGAAAGCCUGAUCCAGCAAUGCCGCGUGAGUGAUGAAGGCCUUAGGGUUGUAAAGCUCUUUUACCCGGGAUGAUAAUGACAGUACCGGGAAAAUAAGCUCCGGCUAACUCCGUGCCAGCAGCCGCGGUAAUACGGAGGGAGCUAGCGUUGUUCGGAAUUACUGGGCGUAAAGCGCACGUAGGCGGCUUUGUAAGUUAGAGGUGAAAGCCUGGAGCUCAACUCCAGAAUUGCCUUUAAGACUGCAUCGCUCGAAUCCAGGAGAGGUGAGUGGAAUUCCGAGU